UAUCUCAGUUAGUAAAGAAUCUGCCUGCAAUGCAGGAGAUCCUGGUUCAAAUCCUGG
rnacentral:tRNA from 1 species